rnacentral:rRNA from 1 species
UUGCAGUUAAAAAGCUCGUAGUUGGAUUUCGGAGUGGGCCAGUUGGUCCGCCGCAAGGUGUGUUACUGACUGGUUUGCUCUUCUUCGCAAAGACUGCGUGUGCUCUUCAGUGAGUGUGCGUAGGAUUUACGACGUUUACUUUGAAAAAAUUAGAGUGUUCAAAGCAGGCUAUUGCUUGAAUACAUGAGCAUGGAAUAAUGGAAUAGGACUUUGGUCCCAUUUUGUUGGUUUCUAGGGCCGAAGUAAUGAUUAAGAGGGACAAUUGGGGGCAUCCGUAUUUCGUUGUCAGAGGUGAAAUUCUUGGAUUUACGAAAGACGAACAACUGCGAAAGCACUUGCCAAGAGUGUUUUCAUUAAUCAAGAACGAAAGUUAGAGGAUCGAAGACGAUCAGAUACCGUCCUAGUUCUAACCAUAAACGAUGUCGACUAGGGAUCAGCGGGCGUUAUCGUACGACCCCGUUGGCACCUUACGGGAAACCAAAGUUUCUGGAUUCCGGGGGAAGUAUGGUUGCAAAGCUGAAACUUAAAGGAAUUGACGGAAGGGCACCACCAGGAGUGGAGCCUGUGGCUCAAUUUGACUCA